GUGCCAGCCGCCGCGGUAAUUCCAGCUCCAAUAGCGUAUAUUAAAGUUGUUGCAGUUAAAAAGCUCGUAGUUGAACCUUGGGCCUGGCUGGCCGGUCCGCCUCACCGCGUGUACUGGUCCGGCCGGGCCUUUCCUUCUGGGGAACCUCAUGCCCUUCACUGGGCGUGUUGGGGAACCAGGACUUUUACUUUGAAAAAAUUAGAGUGUUCAAAGCAGGCCUUUGCUCGAAUACAUUAGCAUGGAAUAAUAGAAUAGGACGUGUGGUUCUAUUUUGUUGGUUUCUAGGACCGCCGUAAUGAUUAAUAGGGAUAGUCGGGGGCAUCAGUAUUCAAUCGUCAGAGGUGAAAUUCUUGGAUUGAUUGAAGACUAACUACUGCGAAAGCAUUUGCCAAGGAUGUUUUCAUUAAUCAGUGAACGAAAGUUAGGGGAUCGAAGACGAUCAGAUACCGUCGUAGUCUUAACCAUAAACUAUGCCGACUAGGGAUCGGACGGUGUUAGUAUUUUGACCCGUUCGGCACCUUACGAGAAAUCAAAGUUUUUGGGUUCUGGGGGGAGUAUGGUCGCAAGGCUGAAACUUAAAGAAAUUGACGGAAGGGCACCACCAGGCGUGGGMCCUGCGGCUUAAUUUGACUCAACACGGGGAAACU
rnacentral:rRNA from 1 species